CGCUGACGUUCAGCAACAUAAAGCAGUUGGGCGGUCCUAAGCAUCUUCAGCCGCCUCUGCGAUGGAGCAAUGUGCCCGAGGCAGGUAUUUAAACCAGGAUCAACAUCAAAUUAUCCAUCAACUUCAGCGUUAUCACUCUGAAGCUCCAACCGAAGGCUUCAGCUGCAGCUCGUCGAUACCAGGAGCUCCAUUAGUCGGAUCAAUCGGAUGGAAAAGUCUAAAUGUCUCAGCUGGUCAAUCAGUCACACUAAACACAAAAUGCAAAGUUUCAGAAAAAUGCUGCAACCUGCUCGCUGAAAGGAUCAGAGUGGAUUCAGCUUCAGUGAUAUCAAAGUCCAAGCAGGCGGGACAACAAGAGACACUGUGUGAAGUUUUAGUGGCGCUGUCACUUUCUAUCAAUAACCAGUGGAAGACAACAGCUGGCAAACUUCACUUUUACCCUUGAGUGGGGCAGAAUUACAGCCACAAGAUGGGCGAACGCCGCAGAUUCACACACAGAGACUAUUAAGCACCAACAGCUGAGCCGCACGUGGAGGUGAACGAGUCGACAGCUCAGAAAGUGUAAAAACUGCAGCCGCAAACUCAGAAACAUCCCGACCGAGAGUCCGACACGACCCGAACAAGGGUUCUGCAAAGAAAGACGGAACAAUAUUUGGAGUUUUCACUGCCAUUUCCUCUAGGAAGUAUCAUCUUAUGCCCAAUGUGGUCAUCUGAGGCACAUUAGUCCAACUCCAACUCUUCAAACUUUUUGUUUGUGAGGGGCAGCCUAUCAGAAGAAAGGAUGAAUUCAAAGGCCCGGGGAGUGAUAAAUAGGCAUUAAAUUGAACUGUGAGUGAUGCAAAGCAGUUCUAUCGGAGUGCAGCGAUAAAAUAAUGAGCAGAAAGGUGUUUUUAGCAUUUUGUGCUCUGGUUUGUGCUGGUUUGAGCCACCGUUUGUGGCCCGUGAGCACAGCUGGUUUGAACUGAUGUAAACUUCUCCUUUUAAAUCAAACCUCUCAGCUGAGUGAGGCUCACGGAGGGAAGUCGAGCUCACUGCAGCACGUUUUGGUGCUAAAAGCUUAAAGCUGCUUUAAGCUCGUAAAUAAACUCACUUUAUCUGCACACUGGAGGAUUUCAGAGAAGUUUCUAAAUGAAUGUGUCUGAGGUCACUGCUUAGA